rnacentral:rRNA from 1 species
UUCGCCCUUGGUUGAUCCUGCCGGACCUGACUGCUAUCGGAUUGAUACUAAGCCAUGCGAGUCAUUGUAGCAAUACAAGGCAGACGGCUCAGUAACGCGUAGUCAACCUAACCUAUGGACGGGAAUAACCUCGGGAAACUGAGGAUAAUGCCCGAUAGAACACUAUGCCUGGAAUGGUUUGUGUUCCAAAUGAUUUAUCGCCGUAGGAUGGGACUGCGGCCUAUCAGUUUGUUGGUGAGGUAAUGGCCCACCAAGACUAUUACAGGUACGGGCUCUGAGAGGAGUAGCCCGGAGAUGGGUACUGAGACACGGACCCAGGCCCUAUGGGGCGCAGCAGGCGAGAAAACUUUGCAAUGUGCGAAAGCACGACAAGGUUAAUCCGAGUGGUUUGUGCUAAACAGACCUUUUGUUAGUCCUAGAAACACUAACGAAUAAGGGGUGGGCAAGUUCUGGUGUCAGCCGCCGCGGUAAAACCAGCACCUCAAGUGGUCAGGAUGAUUAUUGGGCCUAAAGCAUCCGUGGCCGGCUCUGUAAGUUUUCGGUUAAAUCUGUACGCUCAACGUACAGGCUGCCGGGAAUACUGCAGAGCUAGGGAGUGGGAGAGGUAGACGGUACUCGGUAGGAAGGGGUAAAAUCCUUUGAUCUAUUGAUGACCACCUGUGGCGAAGGCGGUCUACCAGAACACGUCCGACGGUGAGGGAUGAAAGCUG